rnacentral:lncRNA from 1 species
CUGUACGAAGGAUACCCUUGGUCUUUGCACAGCUUCGCCUGCGUAUCUAGAGGAGAAACCAUGUGUGGGUGGGGUGAGCUGGGAGCAAGGCGAGCGCACAGGCAUUCCAGACUUACGGCCUGGGCUAGGCUCAAGAUGUACCUAGGAGACACCUAAAAGCCAGGGGAAGAUGCACACACCUGGUCUUGCUGUCGUUAGAAGCACGUCACCGGGAGUCCAGCGUGCAGAAUGAGGUUUUCGCUGGGGACAAGAGGAGAUGGUUGCACUGUGCGCUGGAGCUGACUAGGAGCGAAGGAGAGGCUGCCUCCAGGCCGUAUGGUCAGGAUGUCUUUGCCCAAAUGUGGUAAAUGACUACACCAAGCAGUCAGCCCAGGAGCGCGGUGGUCACCUAAACGUAGAUGAUGUCGGCUUGUGCAAACUGUCCUGGACUUCACAAGGGCUGUUCGUGGCUGGAGCGUCUGUGACACUGUUGGAGCUCGGAGCAGCGUUCCACCGGGAUGAGCCCCGCAGACAGCAACCACAGGAGGCUGCAACCAGAGCAAGCAAUGGCACAGGAAAGGGAGGCGAGGAGUAUGUUUUAAAUACUUUUAUUUCUUAAUUUACAUAAAGGUAUAUAUUUGGCUUAUUUCUUUUUCUUAUACUCUGAGAUUCACAAUCAAUUGCUCUUAAAAAAUAAAAUAGCCA